rnacentral:tRNA from 1 species
GUCACAGUGGCCGAGUGGUUAAGGCGACGCCCUGCUAAGGCGUUGGGUUUUACCUUCGCAGGUUCGAAUCCUGUCUGUGACG